rnacentral:rRNA from 1 species
GGGUUGUGAGGUUAAGCGACUAAGCGUACACGGUGGAUGCCCUGGCAGUCAGAGGCGAUGAAGGACGUGCUAAUCUGCGAUAAGCGUCGGUAAGGUGAUAUGAACCGUUAUAACCGGCGAUUUCCGAAUGGGGAAACCCAGUGUGUUUCGACACACUAUCAUUAACUGAAUCCAUAGGUUAAUGAGGCGAACCGGGGGAACUGAAACAUCUAAGUACCCCGAGGAAAAGAAAUCAACCGAGAUUCCCCCAGUAGCGGCGAGCGAACGGGGAGCAGCCCAGAGCCUGAAUCAGUGUGUGUGUUAGUGGAAGCGUCUGGAAAGGCGCGCGAUACAGGGUGACAGCCCCGUACACAAAAAUGCACAUGCUGUGAGCUCGAUGAGUAGGGCGGGACACGUGGUAUCCUGUCUGAAUAUGGGGGGACCAUCCUCCAAGGCUAAAUACUCCUGACUGACCGAUAGUGAACCAGUACCGUGAGGGAAAGGCGAAAAGAACCCCGGCGAGGGGAGUGAAAAAGAACCUGAAACCGUGUACGUACAAGCAGUGGGAGCACGCUUAGGCGUGUGACUGCGUACCUUUUGUAUAAUGGGUCAGCGACUUAUAUUCUGUAGCAAGGUUAACCGAAUAGGGGAGCCGAAGGGAAACCGAGUCUUAACUGGGCGUUAAGUUGCAGGGUAUAGACCCGAAACCCGGUGAUCUAGCCAUGGGCAGGUUGAAGGUUGGGUAACACUAACUGGAGGACCGAACCGACUAAUGUUGAAAAAUUAGCGGAUGACUUGUGGCUGGGGGUGAAAGGCCAAUCAAACCGGGAGAUAGCUGGUUCUCCCCGAAAGCUAUUUAGGUAGCGCCUCGUGAAUUCAUCUCCGGGGGUAGAGCACUGUUUCGGCAAGGGGGUCAUCCCGACUUACCAACCCGAUGCAAACUGCGAAUACCGGAGAAUGUUAUCACGGGAGACACACGGCGGGUGCUAACGUCCGUCGUGAAGAGGGAAACAACCCAGACCGCCAGCUAAGGUCCCAAAGUCAUGGUUAAGUGGGAAACGAUGUGGGAAGGCCCAGACAGCCAGGAUGUUGGCUUAGAAGCAGCCAUCAUUUAAAGAAAGCGUAAUAGCUCACUGGUCGAGUCGGCCUGCGCGGAAGAUGUAACGGGGCUAAACCAUGCACCGAAGCUGCGGCAGCGACGCUUAUGCGUUGUUGGGUAGGGGAGCGUUCUGUAAGCCUGCGAAGGUGUGCUGUGAGGCAUGCUGGAGGUAUCAGAAGUGCGAAUGCUGACAUAAGUAACGAUAAAGCGGGUGAAAAGCCCGCUCGCCGGAAGACCAAGGGUUCCUGUCCAACGUUAAUCGGGGCAGGGUGAGUCGACCCCUAAGGCGAGGCCGAAAGGCGUAGUCGAUGGGAAACAGGUUAAUAUUCCUGUACUUGGUGUUACUGCGAAGGGGGGACGGAGAAGGCUAUGUUGGCCGGGCGACGGUUGUCCCGGUUUAAGCGUGUAGGCUGGUUUUCCAGGCAAAUCCGGAAAAUCAAGGCUGAGGCGUGAUGACGAGGCACUACGGUGCUGAAGCAACAAAUGCCCUGCUUCCAGGAAAAGCCUCUAAGCAUCAGGUAACAUCAAAUCGUACCCCAAACCGACACAGGUGGUCAGGUAGAGAAUACCAAGGCGCUUGAGAGAACUCGGGUGAAGGAACUAGGCAAAAUGGUGCCGUAACUUCGGGAGAAGGCACGCUGAUAUGUAGGUGAGGUCCCUCGCGGAUGGAGCUGAAAUCAGUCGAAGAUACCAGCUGGCUGCAACUGUUUAUUAAAAACACAGCACUGUGCAAACACGAAAGUGGACGUAUACGGUGUGACGCCUGCCCGGUGCCGGAAGGUUAAUUGAUGGGGUCAGCGCAAGCGAAGCUCUUGAUCGAAGCCCCGGUAAACGGCGGCCGUAACUAUAACGGUCCUAAGGUAGCGAAAUUCCUUGUCGGGUAAGUUCCGACCUGCACGAAUGGCGUAAUGAUGGCCAGGCUGUCUCCACCCGAGACUCAGUGAAAUUGAACUCGCUGUGAAGAUGCAGUGUACCCGCGGCAAGACGGAAAGACCCCGUGAACCUUUACUAUAGCUUGACACUGAACAUUGAGCCUUGAUGUGUAGGAUAGGUGGGAGGCUUUGAAGUGUGGACGCCAGUCUGCAUGGAGCCGACCUUGAAAUACCACCCUUUAAUGUUUGAUGUUCUAACGUUGACCCGUAAUCCGGGUUGCGGACAGUGUCUGGUGGGUAGUUUGACUGGGGCGGUCUCCUCCUAAAGAGUAACGGAGGAGCACGAAGGUUGGCUAAUCCUGGUCGGACAUCAGGAGGUUAGUGCAAUGGCAUAAGCCAGCUUGACUGCGAGCGUGACGGCGCGAGCAGGUGCGAAAGCAGGUCAUAGUGAUCCGGUGGUUCUGAAUGGAAGGGCCAUCGCUCAACGGAUAAAAGGUACUCCGGGGAUAACAGGCUGAUACCGCCCAAGAGUUCAUAUCGACGGCGGUGUUUGGCACCUCGAUGUCGGCUCAUCACAUCCUGGGGCUGAAGUAGGUCCCAAGGGUAUGGCUGUUCGCCAUUUAAAGUGGUACGCGAGCUGGGUUUAGAACGUCGUGAGACAGUUCGGUCCCUAUCUGCCGUGGGCGCUGGAGAACUGAGGGGGGCUGCUCCUAGUACGAGAGGACCGGAGUGGACGCAUCACUGGUGUUCGGGUUGUCAUGCCAAUGGCACUGCCCGGUAGCUAAAUGCGGAAGAGAUAAGUGCUGAAAGCAUCUAAGCACGAAACUUGCCCCGAGAUGAGUUCUCCCUGACCCUUUAAGGGUCCUGAAGGAACGUUGAAGACGACGACGUUGAUAGGCCGGGUGUGUAAGCGCAGCGAUGCGUUGAGCUAACCGGUACUAAUGAACCGUGAGGCUUAACCUUACAACGCCGAAGCUGUU